rnacentral:tRNA from 1 species
GUUGGCGUCGCAUAGCCUGGCUAUUGCGUGAGUCUGAAAAACUCAUCUUCGAGUACCAUCGAUUCGUGGGUUCAAAUCCCACCGCCAACG